rnacentral:rRNA from 1 species
AUUGAACGCUGGCGGCAUGCCUUACACAUGCAAGUCGAGCGGAGCGGCGGACGGGUGCGGAAUGCCUAGGAAUCUGCCUGGUCGUGGGGGAUAACGACCGGAAACGGGCGCUAAUACCGCAUACUCUCAGAUGAGCAGAGGUUGGAUUAGCUUGGUGGUGGGGGAAAGGCCUACCAUGGCAACGACCCGUAACUGGUCUGAGAGGAUGAGCAGUCACACUGGAACUGAGACACGGUCCAGACUCCUACGGUAGGCAGCAGUGGGGAAUAUUGGACAAUGGGCGAAAGCCUGAUCCAGCCAUGCCGCGUGUAUGAUGAAGGUCUUCGGAUUGUAAAGCACUUUAAGUAGGGAAGCGUUACCAACAGAAUAAGCACCGGCUAACUUCGUGCCAGCAGCCGCGGUAAUAC